rnacentral:lncRNA from 1 species
AAGACUCAUUGUGGACUUCUGACUUCCAGAACUCUGAGAAUAAAUUAGUGUGGUUUUGAGCCACAUAUUUUGAGGCAAUUAUUAUGACAGUAAUUAACUGAUACAGUUAGCCUGUGAUUACAAAUAUUUUGGGAGAUUCCUAUUUUUUAUUUUCAACACACUCUGAAAAGAAUUGCAUUAAAGACCAUAUUUUGUAUGGAAUGUUUUAAAAUUAAUCUGGCUUCUUUGGGAACUACAAAUUUAAUUGAAACUAUUAUCUUAGAUGUGUGUUUGAGAUCUCCAUCUGAAUAAUGAUCCAUGGCUCAAACAAGAUCAACUCCAGAGGGUAUAUAAUCAUGUGAUAAGCUUUGAAAUAUGCUUGGCAACAGAGACUCAUGUCAUACUUUAAGAACAAGAAAAGCAUAAUGUCACCCAUGUCUUUGAAUAAUUUGGUUUCUCAUCUAUAAAAUGAAUAAAUGAUUUCCAAAAGGCCUUUCCAACUUUGAGUCCAUGAUACAAAUUCAUUUUUGAGGGAUAAUAAUGUUUAUCUCUCCUUACUGACUAAUUCUGGAAAAUAUGGAACUAGGG